GGAGGAGGCCUGGCCUGUCCAGGAUGAGAUGAGCUGGUUGGGGCUGGGAUAGGCUGCCUGUCGGGAAAAGCUAUAAAGGGGCAGGGACAGGGUGGCAGGCCCCCCCCCGGGUGGGAGGGGCUCACGCCGUGUCCCUGUGCCCCUGCUCUUUCCCUGGUUGUCUUAUAUUCUACGUGAACCCUGCGGAGUAAAGAAACACAGCUGCGCAAUAGACCCUCCAGCCGUCGGCGGGGCCUCUGGUGCUGGGCUGUGGAGUCCAGCCUCUCUCCUGAGGGCAGGAACUCCCAGAGGGCUGCAGCGUCCGCUUGGCAGUCUGAGUCCACUUGUCGGGACAGCGAGGGACGGUCAGCGCCCCUCCAGUUCAGCUGUGAACCAAAUGACCAGGGCGACCUGGACAGGAGCCCUGCCCACGCUGCUCACCCCGUCUAAACUAACCUAGGGUGCAACCUCCCUCACGAAGGCUUUCCUUCCCACCACCAAGAUGCAAGAUGCCACGCCUGGACCAGCUCAAAAUACCCAGUGAGGAGGCUGGCUGGAGAGUCUUCCCUGAGGGCUGGUGUCACCUCACAGCUGGACCUGGGGGGCAAAGAGGGACACAGGGGUGAGAACCAGAACCCUGAGGACCAGCCCUGCCCCGCCCUUCCCUGACCCCCGGAUCCCAUCAUCUCUAAGUGUGCUGGUCAGACCCCUGCAGAGUCUCUGAGUAUUCCGGAGAACCCCCGGAGCUCGCGGAGCGAGGCUGCUGGCUGGCAUGCAGAGACCCGCUCUCCAUAAAUCUCCGUGGGCUCUGACGGUGGGCUU
ensembl:lncRNA